GACGAACGCUGGCGGCGUGCUUAACACAUGCAAGUCGAACGGAAAGGCCCUGCUUGCAGGGUACUCGAGUGGCGAACGGGUGAGUAACACGUGGGUGAUCUGCCCUGCACUUCGGGAUAAGCCUGGGAAACUGGGUCUAAUACCGGAUAGGAGCCAUUUUUAGUGUGAUGGUUGGAAAGUUUUUUCGGUGUAGGAUGAGCUCGCGGCCUAUCAGCUUGUUGGUGGGGUAAUGGCCUACCAAGGCGGCGACGGGUAGCCGGCCUGGGAGGGCGGACGGCCACAUUGGGACUGAGAUACGGCCCAGACUCCUACGGGAGGCAGCAGUGGGGAAUAUUGCACAAUGGGCGCAAGCCUGAUGCAGCGACGCCGCGUGGGGGAUGACGGCCUUCGGGUUGUAAACUCCUUUCGCUAGGGACGAAGCUUUUUGUGACGGUACCUAGAUAAGAAGCACCGGCUAACUACGUG
rnacentral:rRNA from 1 species